GCUCUCCUGGUGGAAUUGGUAGACACGCUGGUUUUAGGAACCAGUGCUUUACGCGUGAGGGUUCGAGUCCCUCGGAGAGCA
rnacentral:tRNA from 1 species